AGAGUUUGAUUCUGGCUCAGAACGAACGCUGGCGGCGUGCUUAACACAUGCAAGUCGAACGAGAAAGUUCCUUCGGGAAUGAGUAAAGUGGCGCACGGGUCAUUAAUACGUGGAUAAUCUGCCUUUGGGUGAAAAACAACCUGUCGAAAGACGGGCUAAUAUUUCGUAAGACCACAGGAUCUUUGGAUCUAGGGGUAAAAGGUGGCCUUUUUGGCUAUCGCCUAAAGAUGAGUCCGCGCACCAUUAGCUAGUUGGCGGGGUAAAGGCCCACCAAGGCAAAGAUGGUUAGCUGGUCUGAGAGGACGAUCAGCGACACUGGAACUGAGACACGGUCCAGACUCCUACGGGAGGCAGCAGUGGGGAAUUUUGGACAAUGGGCGAAAGCCUGAUCCAGCAACGCCGCGUGAGUGAUGAAGGCCUUCGGGUUGUAAGCUCUGUCAGAGGGAACGAAAAACAGCGACCUAAUACGUCGUUGCUUGACGGUACUCUCAAAGGAAGCACCGGCUAACUCUGUGCCAGCAGCCGCGGUAAUACAGAGGGUGCAAGCGUUGUUCGAAAUUACUGGGCGUAAAGGGUACGUAGGCGGCGAAGUGUGUCUGAUGUGAAAGCCCUUGGCUUAACCAAGGAAGUGCAUUGGAAACUACUUUGCUAGAGUGUGAGAGAGGAUAGUGGAAUUCCCAGUAGAGGUGAAAUUCGUGGAUACUGGGAGGAACAUCUGAGGCGAAGGCGACUAUCUGGAUCACAACUGACGCUGAGGUACGAAAGCAUGGGUAGCAAACAGGAUUAGAUACCCUGGUAGUCCAUGCCGUAAACGAUGAUAACUAGGUGUCGGGAGUAUUGACCCUUCCGGUGCCGCAGCUAACGCAUUAAGUUAUCCGCCUGGGGAGUACGGUCGCAAGACUAAAACUCAAAGAAAUUGACGGGGGCCCGCACAAGCGGUGGAGUAUGUGGUUUAAUUCGACGCAACGCGAAGAACCUUACCUAGGCUAGACAUCAACUGGAAGGUCUGUAGAGAUAUGGAUCGUUCCCGCAAGGGAACUGGUUGACAGGUGCUGCAUGGCUGUCGUCAGCUCGUGUCGUGAGAUGUUGGGUUAAGUCCCGCAACGAGCGCAACCCCUGCCUCCUUUUGCCAUCAUUAAGUUGGGAACUAUGGAGGGACAACCGGCCUUAAACCGGGGGAAGGUGGGGAUGACGUCAAGUCCUCAUGGCCCUUGAUGCCUAGGGCUACACACGUACUACAAUGGUCGAUACAAAGCGCUGCAACAUCGUGAGAUGAAGCGAAUCGCAAAAAGUCGGCCUCAGUUCGGAUUGAAGGCUGCAACUCGCCUUCAUGAAGCUGGAAUCGCUAGUAAUCGCAGAUCAGCAAGCUGCGGUGAAUACGUUCCCGGGCCUUGUACACACCGCCCGUCACACCACGAAAGUUAAUUGGACCAGAAGAUAUUGGGUUUCUAGUAUUGACGGUCUGAUUAGUGAUUGGGGUGAAGUCGUAACAAGGUA
rnacentral:rRNA from 1 species